GAUACCCCUAGAAGCAUUGCAGGUCUGGCUGCUGUGUCAUAGGUGCACCUGUAGGUGGCAGAGAGAAGAGAGGCUGUGUCUAUGCUCAGUGUUCUGACCUGUGAUCAUCUGAAUGAAAAAGGAAAAAAAA